UUUCCGUAGGUGAACCUGCGGAAGGAUCAUUACCAAAUGUUAAUCUUUCCAUCUCGGAAGAUCUUUUCCAUUGUGUUGGCUUUGACUGUGUUCUCAUUUUAGUGCUUAUAAAUAGUGUUGUGCCGCCCCUAAAAAACAUUAUAUCAACCUUAUAAAAAUUGACUGAACAACUAAACCAAUCGAUAAUUUUGUUUAUAAACAACUUUCAACAACGGAUCUCUUGGUUCUC
rnacentral:misc_RNA from 1 species